UCCGGCUUAUCACCGGCGGUUUCUUUAGAGUGCCCAACUAAAUGCUGGCAACAUGCGACGGGGGUUGCGCUCGUUGCGGGACUUAACCCAACAUCUCAAGACACGAGCUGACGACAGCCAUGCACCACCUGUGAUGGUGUCCCGAAGGAAAGGUGUGUUUCCACACCGGUCACCAACAUUUCAAACCCAGGUAAGGUUCUUCGCGUUGCAUCGAAUUAAACCACAUGCUCCGCUGCUUGUGCGGGCCCCCGUCAAUUCCUUUGAGUUUUAGCCUUGCGGCCGUACUCCCCAGGCGGGGCGCUUAAUGCGUUAGCUGCGGCACAGAGACCGUGGAAUGGCCCCCACACCUAGCGCCCACCGUUUACGGCGUGGACUAC
rnacentral:misc_RNA from 1 species